CCUACGGGCGGCUGCAGUGGGGAAUAUUGCACAAUGGGCGCAAGCCUGAUGCAGCCAUGCCGCGUGUGUGAAGAAGGCCUUCGGGUUGUAAAGCACUUUCAGCGGGGAGGAAGGCGUUAAGGUUAAUAACCUUGGCGAUUGACGUUACCCGCAGAAGAAGCACCGGCUAACUCCGUGCCAGCAGCCGCGGUAAUACGGAGGGUGCAAGCGUUAAUCGGAAUUACUGGGCGUAAAGCGCACGCAGGCGGUCUGUCAAGUCGGAUGUGAAAUCCCCGGGCUCAACCUGGGAACUGCAUUCGAAACUGGCAGGCUAGAGUCUUGUAGAGAGGGGUAGAAUUCCAGGUGUAGCGGUGAAAUGCGUAGAGAUCUGGAGGAAUACCGGUGGCGAAGGCGGCCCCCUGGACAAAGACUGACGCUCAGGUGCGAAAGCGUGGGGAGCAAACAGGAUUAGAUACCCCAGUAGUC
rnacentral:rRNA from 1 species